rnacentral:rRNA from 1 species
AAACUGGGAUUAGAUACCCCAGUAUGCCUAGCCUUAAACCCUGACAACCUUAACCUGACCUUCGUUGUCCGCCAGGGAACUACGAGCAUAAGCUUAAAACCCAAAGGACUUGGCGGUGCUUUAGACCCUCCUAGAGGAGCCUGUCCUAGAACCGAUAACCCCCGUUAAACCUCACCCUCACUUGUUUCUCAGCCUAUAUACCGCCGUCGUCAGCUCACCCUGUGAAGGUUUAAUAGUGAGCACAAUUAGCACAACCCAAAACGUCAGGUCGAGGUGUAGCAUAUGUGAGGGGAUUAGAUAGGCUACAUUCUCUAUUAACUAGAAUACACGAACAAUAUAUUGAAAAAUAUAUUAGAAGGAGGAUUUAGUAGUAAACAAGAAUUAUGAGUGUCUUACUGAAACCGGCUCUAAAGCGCGCACACACCGCCCGUCACCCU